rnacentral:lncRNA from 1 species
CCCGGAUGUACUAGCAGGCAGUCAUGCUUUUUUUGCUCCUGCAAAAACUCAAAUUAUCAGGAUCUAGGCUAGCAUAUAAACUUACCAAAUGGACUGAAGUCACAGAUUCAAAGGAUUUUAUUUGAACGGUAAAAUUUAUAUCUCUACAACUUUACAGAUUUCUCAACAUUAAUGAAGAAUAUUUUUUAUCACUACAAGAGCAUUGCUUACGUUGCUAACGUCGUCGGGUUGUUAGUGGCGAUUGAUUGUUCUCCAUUGUUCUUUCAGCAUUCAAUUGCAAAAACAAUAUUUUUAUUAUAUGUAUUUUGAAUCAUAAUGUCGGACUACAAAGAAUUCGAUACCAAAACUAUAUCUAUAUUGAACUCUGUACUUGCUGUCGUGGCAGACCUCCAGACACAAUGCGGAAAGCUUGAGCGCGAAGUUACUAGGAUAUCGCAACUUGAG